CAGCUUCCAGAUGUUACAGAAGAAUUCAGUUCAAGAAACCAAGGUGAAUGAACCAAGUUCAUUCUUUGGAACACUUUGUUGUACAAGCAUUGCUGGAAAAGGGCACGGUGGUAAGCAAUUAAAAUGAAGGAGAGAAAUGUGGCCAGCAGGAGAGUUGGACGUCAGCAGAAUCAGUGAGGGAAGACCCUGUCCACUGUCUCUUGAUCGUUUCUCACCCCUAUGGAAAGCAUUCUGAGGAGUGAAGACUUCAUCCAGGGCUCCUCCUAAUCUCUACCCUCCCUGGAGUUUUAUUAGGAUCUUCAGCCAACUUGCA